rnacentral:rRNA from 1 species
AUUGAACGCUGGCGGCAUGCCUUACACAUGCAAGUCGAACGGCAGCACGGGUGCUUGCACCUGGUGGCGAGUGGCGAACGGGUGAGUAAUAUAUCGGAACGUACCUUAUUGUGGGGGAUAACGCAGCGAAAGCUGUGCUAAUACCGCAUAAUCCCUUAGGGGGAAAGCGGGGGGACCGUAAGGCCUCGCGCAAUUAGAGCGGCCGAUACCUGAUUAGCUAGUUGGUGAGGUAAAGGCUCACCAAGGCGACGACGGGUAGCCGGCCUGAGAGGGUGACCGGCCACACUGGGACUGAGACACGGCCCAGACUCCUACGGGAGGCUGCAGUGGGGAAUAUUGCACAAUGGGCGCAAGCCUGAUGCAGCAACGCCGCGUGAGGGAUGACGGCCUUCGGGUUGUAAACCUCUUUUAGUAGGGAAGAAGCGAAAGUGACGGUACCUGCAGAAAAAGCACCGGCUAACUACGUG